AUGUGUGGAUUCAAUUAUGUAACUAUACACAUUUUUCUUGUGCAUGCAGGUGAAGGGUUGGAUCGGUCCAAGGAUUUCAAGCGCAAGCUGACCCCGUGUUGCGAGAGUUCCUAUGAGGGAGGGUACUGUGGAGAGCGUAGCAGUUCACGGAAGCACCUCUACUACCUAUGCCAAAAUCCCGACAAGAGGUUCUACUGGGACGAGACACAUCCGACACAUGCUGGGUGGGAGGCUGUAAUGGAGGCGCUGGAGCAGCCUUUGAUGGAAUUUCUCAAUUGA
rnacentral:rRNA from 1 species